AUGGUGGCUGUGAUGGUGGUGAUGGUGGCGGUGGUGGUUGCGGUGGUGGUGAUGGUGGCGGUGGUGGUGGUGGUGGUGAUGGUGAUGGUGGUGGUUGUGGUGGUGUUGGUGGUCGUGGUGGUGAUGCUGGUGGUGAUGGUGGUGAUGGUGAUGGUGGUGUUGGUGGCGGUGGUGGCGAUGGUGGUGAUGGUGGUGGUUGUGGUGGUGGUUGUGGUGGUGGUGGUCGUGGUGGUGAUGCUGGUGGUGAUGGUGGUGGUGGUGGUGGUGUUGGUGGCGGUGGUGGCGAUGGUGGUGAUGGUGGUGGUGAUGCUGGUGGUGAUGGUGGUGGUUGUGGUGAUGGUGGUGGUUGUGGUGGUGAUGGUGGUGGUGGUGGUGGUGGUGGUUGUGGUGGUGAUGGUGGUGAUGGUGGUGGUGAUGGUGGUGGUUGUGGUGAUGGUGGUGAUGGUGGUGGUGAUGGUGGUGGUUGUGGUGGUGGUUGUGGUGGUGAUGGUGGUGGUUGUGGUGGUGGUGAUGGUGGUGGUGGUGGUGGUGGUGAUGCUGGUGGUGGUGGUGGUGAUGGUGGUGGUUGUGGUGGUGGUGGUUGUGGUGGUGGUGGUGGUGGUUGUGGUGGUGGUGGUGGUGGUCGUGGUGGUGGUGGUCGUGGUGGUGAUGCUGGUGGUCGUGGUGGUGAUGCUGGUGGUGAUGGUGGUGGUGGUGAUGGUGAUGGUGGUGUUGGUGGUGGUGGUGGCGAUGGUGGUGAUGGUGGUGGUGGUGGUGGUGAUGCUGGUGGUGAUGGUGGUGGUUGUGGUGGUGGUGGUGAUGGUGGUGGUUGUGGUGGUGAUGGUGGUGUUGGUGGUGUUGGUGGCGAUGGUGGUGAUGGUGGUGGUGGUGGUGGUGAUGCUGGUGGUGAUGGUGGUGGUUGUGGUGGUGGUGGUGAUGGUGGUGGUUGUGGUGGUGAUGGUGGUGGUUGUGGUGGUGGUGGUGGUUGUGGUGGUGAUGGAGGUGGUGAUGGUGGUGGUUGUAGUGGUGAUGGUGGUGGUGAUGGUGGUGGUUGUGGUGGUGAUGGUGGUGAUGCUGGUGGUGGUGGUUGUGGUGGUGAUGGUGGUGGUGAUGGUGGUGGUUGUGGUGGUGAUGGUGGUGGUGAUGGUGGUGGUUGUGGUGGUGAUGGUGGUGAUGGUGGUGGUGGUGGUGGUGAUGGUGGUGGUUGUGGUGGUGAUGGUGGUGGUGGUGAUGGUGGUGGUUGUGGUGAUGGUGGUGGUGAUGCUGGUGGUGGUGGUGGUGAUGCUGGUGGUGGUGGUGGUGAUGGUGGUGGUUGUGGUGGUGAUGGUGGUGGUGAUGUUGGUGGUGAUGGUGGUGAUGGUGGUGGUUGUGGUGUUGGUGGUGGUGGUGAUGGUGGUGGUUGUGGUGGUGAUGGUGGUGGUGGUGGUGAUGGUGGUGGUUGUGGUGGUGAUGGUGGUGGUUGUGGUGGUGGUGGUGGUGAUGGUGCUGGUUGUGGUGGUGGUGGUGUUUUCAGGUUCCUGA
rnacentral:lncRNA from 1 species